rnacentral:rRNA from 1 species
GACGAACCGUGCGAACGUUGUUCGGAAUCACUGGGCAUAAAGGGCGCGUAGGCGGCUUUUCAAGUCAGGGGUGAAAUCCGGCAGCUCAACUGUCGAAGUGCCCUUGAUACUGAUGAGCUCGAGGGAGGUAGGGGUGUGUGGAACUUCCGGUGGAGCGGUGAAAUGCGUUGAUAUCGGGAGGAACGCCGGUGGCGAAAGCGACGCACUGGACCUCUUCUGACGCUGAGGCGCGAAAGCUAGGGGAGCAAACGGG